CGGACCGCUGAUGUGGCAUGAA
rnacentral:miRNA from 1 species